AUUGAACGCUGGCGGCAGGCCUAACACCUGCAAGUCGAACGAGUGGCGGACGGGUGAGUAAUGUCUGGGAAACUGCCUGAUGGAGGGGGAUAACUACUGGAAACGGUAGCUAAUACCGCAUACCAUCAGAUGUGCCCAGCGGGGAUUAGCUUGUUGGUGGGGUAACGGCUCACCAAGGCGACGAUCCCUAGCUGGUCUGAGAGGAUGACCAGCCACACGGGAACUGAUGCACGGUCCAGACUCCUACGGGAGGCAGCAGUGGGGAAGAGUGCACAAGGGGCGCAAGCCGGAUGCAGCCAUGCCGCGUGUAUGAAGAAGGCCUUCGGGUUGUAAAGUACUUUCAGCGGGGAGGCGUUACCCGGAGAAGAAGCACCGGCUAACUCCGUGCCAGCCGCCGCGGUAAUUC
rnacentral:rRNA from 1 species